rnacentral:rRNA from 1 species
UACGGAGGGUGCAAGCGUUGUUCGGAAUCACUGGGCGUAAAGCGUGCGUAGGCGGUUCAGUGUGUCGGUUGUGAAAUCCCCGGGCUUAACCUGGGAACUGCAUCCGAAACUGCUGGGCUAGAGUGUGGUAGAGGGAGGUGGAAUUCCAGGUGUAGCGGUGAAAUGCGUAGAUAUCUGGAGGAACAUCGAUGGCGAAGGCAGCCUCCUGGGCCACAACUGACGCUGAGGUACGAAAGCGUGGGGAGCAAACAGG